rnacentral:rRNA from 1 species
GACGAACGCUGGCGGCGUGCUUAACACAUGCAAGUCGAACGGUAAGGCCCUUCGGGGUACACGAGUGGCGAACGGGUGAGUAACACGUGGGUGAUCUGCCCUGCACUUCGGGAUAAGCCUGGGAAACUGGGUCUAAUACCGGAUAGGACCACUGCCUGCAUGGGUGGUGGUGGAAAGCUUGUGCGGUGUGGGAUGGGCCCGCGGCCUAUCAGCUUGUUGGUGGGGUGAUGGCCUACCAAGGCGACGACGGGUAGCCGGCCUGGGAGGGUGACCGGCCACACUGGGACUGAGAUACGGCCCAGACUCCUACGGGAGGCAGCAGUGGGGAAUAUUGCACAAUGGGCGCAAGCCUGAUGCAGCGACGCCGCGUGAGGGAUGACGGCCUUCGGGUUGUAAACCUCUUUCAGCACCGACGAAGCGCAAGUGACGGUAGGUGCAGAAGAAGGACCGGCCAACUACGUGCCAGCAGCCGCGGUAA